GUAAAUAGAUGAGUUUGAGCUGAGGGAAUAACAUAUACGUAUAAUAUUUUGGAGAGGGGUUUAUGCUGAAUGGUGGAAACCUAGAAUUAGAACAAAAAGGAGAUAGAAAGGAGAAGCAGAAAUCUAGACUCUUGGAAGGAGAAUCAAGGGAUGUCUGAAGUUAUCAACCAAGUUUAGGCCAAGAAAACUCAGAGAAUUUGGAAACCAAGGGGGAAGAAGGUCAAGAGCUGGAGGUUGAACCUAUCACUUAAGGACUUUGGAGAAGCUCGGGAUAGAGGACCGUGCUUGUGGCUACGUGAUAUCGGAAACCAGCGAAUUGAAAGGUAAGGGUAAGGGCAAGCUGGACCAGGCCUGAGGUGGAGAGCUCCGAGGUGAAAUGUACAUAGCCAGCCGUUCGAUCACCACGGUCGAGGAGUGUGUCAGGACGGAGAUUACCUAACCACUCAUUUUGCCUUAGUAUGGCUGUUGAUGUAUAUAGACUUUGUAACUUUUGUAAAUGACUUUUAAACUGUCAUUUUUGGGAUCCCUUGUACAUAAACAAUGUUUAGUAAUGAAAAUGUAUCUUUU